AGCUGUGCUGGAUGUAAACGCUCCUACCUCCUAAGUAAUGCGCAGUGGCCCACCUCCCUGUGAGACAGACCUGGAUGGAGAUGGAGCAGCUGGAGGAAUCUGUGCUUCGUUCCUUCUCUCCCCCUCACCCUGUUAAGUGAGAUAACGACAGUCGUUCUCUUGAGAAGGUCACAGACCACGCUUCCUGGCUCACUCAGCUGACCUAUGCUACUGACCAGGAAUUCCAUAAGACAGAACCCCCCUUGGGCCCUGGCGGGCUAGUCCUUCAAAGAGAACCCUCUCCACAGAGCGGUGUCCCUGGCUGAAGGCGACUAGGCAGCACCCUCCUCACCAAGGGUCCCUGGCCCCCCAUUUGUCAUCUCUCUUCCCCAUCCCAGCGGCACCGUCCUUCACAGCACCCAAACUCAUCACUAAGGAAGAGGGCCACCUGUGUCGGGUGACGCCAGCAUUGGGAGUGGAGCGUCUCAAGAGCAAAGAAGAUACUUCAUUUCCCUUACCUUACCCCACAGGGAGAGAAGGAAGGAAGCACUUUUCCUGGUCUCUGUAUCUGCACAAAGGGCAACACCCCUCAACUGGAGGAUGGUAUCACCAGAGGGACUUAAGAGAAUUUAUGGUACUUUCCAGAUGAGGACAUUUCAGCAGCAGGCACAGCCGGGGCUGUGACUCACUGACUAACUCUCGGUGUGCAAACCCGGAGGCUGACAGAGGCAUUUUCUCUUCCGGCUGGUCAUGUCCUGGAGCCCUGCAGGCAGACUGAUUACACCACUGGCUGUGACCCUGCUUGUGGGCCGCGGCAGAGACUGUCAGGUCAUUACGUGGAGACCAUACAGCUCAAAGGCAUAAACUCCGGAGCAGCGUGCUGAGGAGAUUCACACACUCGGUACUGGGGAAGCAUGAAGCGAGUGCAGUAGAAUUCCCCGAGUCGACCUAAAAUUCAGACUAUUGCUUCCUAGAAUUGCUUCCUAUUCAAUCCAUGUGACUCCAACUUCCGCUUGGCCCCAGGGCAUAAGUGAGAUUUGGAAGGCUAACCAAAGCCGGGGCCAUGGAAUAUCAGGAGUAUGGCAGAGCACACCCACUGUCGAUGGCUGAUGGUUUACACGGCCAGCACACACGCACGUGCGCACACACACACACACACGCAGGCACGCGCACAAACACACGCGCGCGCGCGCGCGCACACACACACACACACACACACACACACCCUUCAGCUGCUGAGUCCUGGGCUAGAUUCAGCUGGGCAAACCCCUCCUGCAGGAUUCCGUCACAGAAGCGAUGGGCAGCAUCUAUACCACUCUAGCCUCCUGGCCUCAGCUUUUCUUUGGGACGACUUUGGGACAAGCAGCCCCUCUGGAGCCAGAGGUCCCACUUUGCCUAAGCCUCUUGCUGGCCAGUACGGGCGCGCUGAACUGAGCUGUAGGGAAUGCCUUCCUCCCUCCCACACAGCAAAGGAGCCAAAGCACGGAAGGGACCGUGAGCUGCCUAUGGCAGCCAGCCCAAGCAUGAUGCACCUCGUGACACCUGCUAAGUGGCUUCGGUGUGGCGUGCCUCAGUUCCCUCUGCCAUUCCUAACUCCUAGCAUUUGCACGACGGAUUUGGUCCUCCAUCUAUGGCAUCAGCAGGUGCAAGAGCUCCCCCACGUUAACUUUGUGCCCACGAACCUGAAGCUAGGAAGAACUCCAGCCUCUGCAGAGAUGAGCCCCCACCCCACCCCAUGGCCAUGCACUCCUGUCUUUCCCAUCUGACAGACCUGGGUCCCCCGGGCAGCUUCAGGGACCUCCUCAAGCUCCCUCUCUUGUUAAGGAAGCAGUCCUGCAUCCUCCAGAGGCCAAGGCCACUGAGCUGUUAAUUAAAGGGGCCCAAAUUGGAUCCAGCUGCCUGCAGUUCUGAGCCCCUGGGGAAAUUCCACAGAGCACUCGGCCAGAGAAGCUAAAGGGGAUGCAUCUAGCUCCUAGUGAGGGAAAGAGAACUGCCUCCUUCCGCGUAGGUAGAAUAUUUAACCGUGUAACGAUGUGUUAAUCUGUGUUGAUUAAAUAAAAUUACCCUGGGCUCAGAGAAGCAGGGGUAGCUACGAGCUGACUGGAAGAACAGGGGGAGGAGAGAGAAUGAAGGAGAUGCCCAGGGCCCGCCAGGCAGUCACCGGACAGACAGGGGCUAGGACUAAUGGAAUGAAGCAAGGUAAAAAGCCCCAAGGCAAGGCGUGGGUGAGGAGAAACGGGUUAAAUUAAGUUAUAAGAGCUAACAGGACAAGCAUAAUCUAAGGCCGCACAUUAAUAAUUAAUAAUUAAUAAUAAGUCUCCGCGCCACGAUAUGGGAGCUGCCUGACGGCCCAAAGAAAGCUGGUUAUGCUUCCCGUGUCCCCAGUGGAGAGAACAAACCCUGGAGAAGGAAAACUGUGGACCGUCACAGCCUCAGCAACUCCUAAGGGCCGCUGACCUUGAGAGAAUGACCACAGCCCUCGAAUGUCCUUUGGAGGCCGGGCCCUAGGGUCAGGGUGGCAGCCAGCUCUGAUUCCCCUGCAGGAACAAAUGUUGGACAUAUCAUUAUUAAAAAUGAAUGUGUGGGUUAGAGAGUUGGCUCGGAUAAUAGUGUUUGCUAUGCAAGCAUGAGGGCUUCGAUCCCGUCCUGAAGGCCCAUUCAAAGUCCCAGUAUGGCAGUGAAGGCCCGUGACCCCAG